rnacentral:rRNA from 1 species
GCUAANGCGUGAAGUAGACCGCNUGGGGAGUACGGUCGCAAGANUNNAACUCAAAGGAAUUGACGGGGNCCCGCACAAGCGGUGGAUGAUGUGGAUUAAUUCGAUGCAACGCGAAAAACCUUACCUACCCUUGACAUGGAAGGAAUCCUGAAGAGAUUUUGGAGUGCCCGAAAGGGAACCUUCACACAGGUGCUGCAUGGCUGUCGUCAGCUCGUGUCGUGAGAUGUUGGGUUAAGUCCCGCAACGAGCGCAACCCUUGUCAUUAGCUGCUACGCAAGAGCACUCUAAUGAGACUGCCGGUGACAAACCGGAGGAAGGUGGGGAUGACGUCAAGUCCUCAUGGCCCUUAUGGGUAGGGCUUCACACGUCAUACAAUGGUACAUACAGAGGGCCGCCAACCCGCGAGGGGGAGCUAAUCCCAGAAAGUGUAUCGUAGUCCGGAUUGUAGUCUGCAACUCGACUACAUGAAGUUGGAAUCGCUAGUAAUCGCGGAUCAGCAUGUCGCGGUGAAUACGUUCNCGGGNNNUGUACACACCCGCCCCGUCCACAACCAUGGGGAGCCGGGUUUUUACCCAAGAAG